ACGUAGGCAGCAAGCGUUGUUCGGAGUUACUGGGCGUAAAGAGUGUGUAGGCUGUUCUCUAAGUUUGGUGUGAAAUCUCCCGGCUCAACUGGGAGGGUGCGCCGAAAACUGGAGGGCUCGAGUAUGGGAGAGGAAAGCGGAAUUCCUGGUGUAGCGGUGAAAUGCGUAGAUAUCAGGAGGAACACCUGCGGUGUAGACAGCUUUCUGGACCAUCACUGACGCUGAGACACGAAAGCGUGGGUAGCAAACAGGA
rnacentral:rRNA from 1 species